rnacentral:rRNA from 1 species
GACGAAGGGGGCUAGCGUUGCUCGGAAUCACUGGGCGUAAGGCGCACGUAGGCGGAUUUUUAAGUCAGGGGUGAAAUCCUGGAGCUCAACUCCAGAACUGCCUUUGAUACUGGGAAUCUCGAGUCCGGGAGAGGUGAGUGGAACUGCGAGUGUAGAGGUGAAAUUCGUAGAUAUUCGCAAGAACACCAGUGGCGAAGGCGGCUCACUGGCCCGGUACUGACGCUGAGGUGCGAAAGCGUGGGGAGCAAACAGG